AGUGAACGCUGGCGGUAGGCCUAACACAUGCAAGUCGAACGGCAGCACAGUAAGAGCUUGCUCUUACGGGUGGCGAGUGGCGGACGGGUGAGGAAUACAUCGGAAUCUACUUUUUCGUGGGGGAUAACGUAGGGAAACUUACGCUAAUACCGCAUACGACCUACGGGUGAAAGCAGGGGAUCUUCGGACCUUUCGCGAUUGAAUGAGCCGAUGUCGGAUUAGCUAGUUGGCGGGGUAAAGGCCCACCAAGGCGACGAUCCGUAGCUGGUCUGAGAGGAUGAUCAGCCACACUGGAACUGAGACACGGUCCAGACUCCUACGGGAGGCAGCAGUGGGGAAUAUUGGACAAUGGGCGCAAGCCUGAUCCAGCCAUACCGCGUGGGUGAAGAAGGCCUUCGGAUUGUAAAACCCUUUUGUUGGGAAAGAAAAGCAGCAGGUUAAUACACCGAUGCUCUGACGGUACCCAAAGAAUAAGCACCGGCUAACUUCGUG
rnacentral:rRNA from 1 species